rnacentral:rRNA from 1 species
CCUACGGGGGGCUGCAGUGGGGAAUAUUGCACAAUGGGCGCAAGCCUGAUGCAGCGACGCCGAGUGAGCGAUGAAGGCCUUCGGGUCGCAAAGCUCUGUCCUAAGGGAAGAAUAAUGACGGUACCUUAGGAGGAAGCCCCGGCUAACUACGUGCCAGCAGCCGCGGUAAUACGUAGGGGGCGAGCGUUAUCCGGAAUCACUGGGCGUAAAGGGUGCGUAGGCGGCCCUGCAAGUCCGGAGUUAAAUCUCUCGGCUCAGCCGAGGUUAGCUCUUGAAACUGUAGGGCUUGAGUGCAGGGGAGGCGGGCGGAAUUCCGAGUGUAGCGGUGAAAGGCGUAGAUAUUAGGUGGAGCACCAGUGGCGAAGGCGGCUCUCUGGACUGCAACUGACGCUGUGGCACGAAAGCGUGGGGAGCGAACAGGAUUAGAUACCCGGGUAGUC